rnacentral:rRNA from 1 species
GACGAACGCUGGCGGCGUGCUUAACACAUGCAAGUCGAACGGAAAGGCCCGGCUUUUGUGUGGUUCUCGAUUGGCGAACGGGGGAGUAACACGUGAGUAACCUGCCCUUGACUUUGUGAUAACUUCAGGAAACUGGGGCUAAUACCGGAUAUGAGCUCCUGCUGCAUGUUGUUGGUUGGAAAGUUUCGGCGGUUGGGGAUGGACUCGCGGCUUAUCAGCUUGUUGGUGUGGUAGUUGCUGACGAAGGCUUUGACGGGUAGCCGGCCUGAGAGGGUGAACGGGGACAUUGGGCCUAAGAUAGGGAGCAGAAUGGAACGGGAGGCAAUGGGGGAGAGUAUUACAGAACAAGGGGAAGUGUGAGGUGAAGAUCCUGGGAGCGGGAAGAUGGCUUAUGGGUGGUGAACAGAUUUGGAAGGAGCUGAAGAGAGAGUGACGGUAAUGGGUAAAGAAGCAACGGCUAACUACGUG